ensembl:lncRNA
CCUCCCGGCGGGAGGGGGCGGGGGGAUGGGGUCCUCCGGGCUGGGUGCGGAGGGUGGAGGGGAGCCACGGCCCUCGGGGUGGCGGGGCUCAGAGGGGUGCGGAUCCUGGCCAGCCGGGCGGGUAGGUGAGGUUUCUACCCUGACCCAGGCCUAGCCCUGACCCUGAUUCUAACCCUAAUCCUAGUCCUGGGGAGAGCAGACAGACGGGAAACGGAGGCUGAGGCUACGCGGCGAUCGUAUCUCCUACUGAAGGGGAACAGUUGUCACAGAAGAUGAACCUAUGUGAUGUGGCAUCUUCAUCCAGCAUCCACAGGCGACAUCGGGCCCACACUUCGUGUCUGACCCUGUGGACUGAUGACAUGUGUCCACUGUUGUGGUGUUGUGCCGAGGAGUUUCACUGCCUGGAAAGUCCCCUGUGCUCCACCUGGUCAUCCUCCCUCCUCGCUCUGUAACCACCCAUUAUUUUACCUUUUCCAGAACGUUGUAUGAUUGUAACCAUACAGAAU